GGGGCUGUAGCUCAGUGGAAAAGCACUUGCCUUGCAUGUAUGAGGCACUGGGUUCAAUCCUCAGCACCACA
rnacentral:tRNA from 1 species